rnacentral:tRNA from 1 species
GGAUCGGUAGCUUAGUUGGUUAAGCACUCGUCUAGCACACAAUAGGCUUGAGUUCAAAUCCCACCUGAGCAC